rnacentral:rRNA from 1 species
UUUAGAGGAAGUAAAAGUCGUAACCAAGGUUUCCGUAGGUGAACCUGCGGAAGGAUCAUUAUUGAAUAAACUUGGUUGGGUUGCUGCUGGCUCUUAGGAGCAUGUGCACACUCACUCCAUUUUAACCACCUGUGCACAUACUGUAGACCUGAAUGAAACUUUUCGAGGUAACUCGGUUUGAGGACUGUUGUGAAAAUCAGCUGUUCUUGCAUUCCAGGUCUAUGUUUUUAAAAAUAUACUCCAUAACAAGUCAUAGAAUGUUAAUAAUGGGCCUUCUGUGCCUUUAAAUUAUAAUACAACUUUCAACAACGGAUCUCUUGGGCUCUCGCAUCGAUGAAGAACGCAGCGAAAUGCGAUAAGUAAUGUGANUNGCAGAAUUCAGUGAAUCAUCGAAUCUUUGAACGCACCUUGCGCUCCUUGGUAUUCCGAGGAGCAUGCCUGUUUGAGUGUCAUGAAAUUCUCAACCUCUCUGGCUUGUAUAAGCCAGUCAGGCUUGGAUUGUGGAAGUUGCUGGCUUCUUUAGAGACCGGCUCUUCUUAAAUGUAUUAGCAAAGUUCUUGCUGACCAUCUUUGGUAUGAUAAUUAUCUAUACCAUUGAGAGUCGGUGGUUCAGGCUCCGCUUGGGAUAUAUCAUAUAUCCAAAGUGUUCGCUCAACCUCUUUGAAGCACUAGCCUUGGCACAGGUGUUAACUCAUCUGAAUGGUGUUGAACACUUCAGGUUGACGAAGCGAGGCGUUCUUAGGAGCGCUCACGAGAGCAAGCAGCGUCAGAGCUCGUCUUCCAAGUUGGGAGGCUUGAUGCACUGAUGUGUGCACUGUCAUAUUCCUGUACCUACCCUAUGCCACUAUGUGGCUUUGAUGGGUCUGGUCAAACCAUGACCUGAACAUAUCCUUAGUGGGAGGAUCUUGCUUCUAAUCAUUGUUCUUAGGGACAAAUAUAUUGACAAUUUGACCUCAAAUCAGGUAGGACUACCCGCUGAACUUAAGCAUAUCAAUAAGCGGAGGAAAAGAAACUAACAAGGAUUCCCCUAGUAACUGCGAGUGAAGCGGGAAAAGCUCAAAUUUAAAAUCUGGUAGUCUUUGGCUGCCCGAGUUGUAAUCUAGAGAAGUGUUAUCCGCGCUGGACCGUGUACAAGUCUCCUGGAAUGGAGCGUCAUAGAGGGUGAGAAUCCCGUCUUUGACACGGACUGCCAGGGCUUUGUGAUGUGCUCUCAAAGAGUCGAGUUGUUUGGGAAUGCAGCUCUAAAUGGGUGGUAAAUUCCAUCUAAAGCUAAAUAUUGGCGAGAGACCGAUAGCGAACAAGUACCGUGAGGGAAAGAUGAAAAGAACUUUGGAAAGAGAGUUAAACAGUACGUGAAAUUGUUGAAAGGGAAACGCUUGAAGUCAGUCGCGUUGGCCGGGGAUCAACCUUGCUUUUCUGCUUGGUGUACUUCCUGGUUGAUGGGUCAGCAUCAAUUUUGACCAGUGGAAAAAGGUCAGGAGGAAUGUGGCAUCUUCGGAUGUGUUAUAGCCCUUGGUUGCAUACAUUGGUUGGGAUUGAGGAACUCAGCACGCCGCAAGGCCGGGUUUUUACCACGUUCGUGCUUAGGAUGCUGGCAUAAUGGCUUUAAUCGAC